rnacentral:rRNA from 1 species
GGAUGCGAUCAUACCAGCACAAAAGCAUCGGAUCCCAUCAGAACUCCGAAGUUAAGCGUGCUUGGGCGAGAGUAGUACUAGGAUGGGUGACCUCCUGGGAAGUCCUUGUGUUGCAUUCC